AAAAACAACUCUCAGCAACGGAUAUCUUGGCUCUUCCACCCCCCCAAAACAAACCA
rnacentral:rRNA from 3 species